AUGGAGGAUGUAAGUCAGGAUUCUAAUGCUCCGGGAGCAUUCUUCCUAAGUCAGCAGGCCCUACAUUCAUCAAGCAGUGCUGAUCCUCAUUUGAUACAAGACAACAUUCAAUCUUCUAAUGCUCAGGAUUCCAGCUCUGUAAUCAGUACACAACCUACCAGCAUCAAUACACAAGACCAUCUCAAAACUGAACAUGAUGAUAAGCAGACUCUGCAUUCAUCAAGCAGUGAUAAUCAUCAAAUGAUGCAAAACAGUCAGCUUUCUGAUGAUGAUGUGAGUACCAGGCACAAUUACUCAGCUGAAAAAUAG
rnacentral:lncRNA from 1 species